UACGUAGGGUGCGAGCGUUAAUCGGAAUUACUGGGCGUAAAGCGUGCGCAGGCGGUCUGUUAAGACAGAUGUGAAAUCCCCGGGCUUAACCUGGGAACUGCAUUUGUGACUGGCAGGCUAGAGUAUGGCAGAGGGGGGGUAGAAUUCCACGUGUAGCAGUGAAAUGCGUAGAGAUGUGGAGGAAUACCGAUGGCGAAGGCAGCCCC
rnacentral:rRNA from 1 species